AUGGCCGCAGAGAAUAAAUUCUGCGGUUCCCCGACCCAGCCCCGUUCAAAGUCGCUAGAAUUUGUUCCCAGCAACUGGUCCACCCCUGUGUGGAACACCCCUGCUGGAUCACAGAAUGAAGACUUUUCUUCUUCAGUUGCCAAGUGGAAGACAUGACAAACGGUGCAACCUAACCUGCUGAGUGUGUCCAGAAUUUUCUGUCUUUUUCUGAGACCAAUUGAUAGCCACAAGUAUCGUUUGUGCUGGGAGUCACUAAUUUCUCACAAUUAAAAUCUCAAAGUUAAUUUUAUUAUUAAGAUACGUCACAAAAUACUACCCUGAGAUUCAUUUUCUUGCAUACACUUACAAAGUACAGUACAACAAAGAAGUACGAUAGAGUCAAUGCCAA